ACAGCAGUAGCCGCGGUAAUACAGAGGGUGCGAGCGUUAAUCGGAUUUACUGGGCGUAAAGCGUGCGUAGGCGGCUUCUUAAGUCGGAUGUGAAAUCCCUGAGCUUAACUUAGGAAUUGCAUUCGAUACUGGGAAGCUAGAGUAUGGGAGAGGAUGGUAGAAUUCCAGGUGUAGCGGUGAAAUGCGUAGAGAUCUGGAGGAAUACCAAUGGCGAAGGCAGCCAUCUGGCCUAAUACUGACGCUGAGGUACGAAAGCAUGGGGAGCAAACAGGAUUAGAUACCCGCGUAGUCCCUGUCUCUUAUAC
rnacentral:rRNA from 1 species